rnacentral:rRNA from 1 species
GACGAACGCUGGCGGCGUGCUUAACACAUGCAAGUCGAACGGUAAGGCCCUGCUUUUGUGGGGUGCUCGAGUGGCGAACGGGUGAGUAACACGUGAGUAACCUGCCCUUGACUUUGGGGUAACUUCAGGAAACUGGGGCUAAUACCGGAUAGGAGCUCCUGCUGCAUGGUGGGGGUUGGAAAGUUUGGGCGGUUGGGGUUGGAGUCGGGGCUUAGCCGCUUGUUGGUGGGGUAGUGGCUUACCAAGGCUUUGCCGGGUGGCGGCCCGGAGGGGGGGACCGGCGACAUGGGCACGAGACAUCGGCCAGGCCUCAGUGGGGAGGAUGGGGUGGGGAGUGAAGGACAGAGGCCGAAGCCUGAUGCAGCAACGCCGCGUGCUGGAUGACUGCCUUCGGGUUGUAAACCGCUUUCGCCUGUGACGAAGCGUGAGUGACGGUAAUGGGUAAAGAAGCACCGGCUAACUACGUG